UUCGGCCUCCCUCCCCAGUCCAGCCACGCCGCCGCCGCCGCCGCCGCCGCUGCAGCCACCCCGGCGAGACUCGCCGCCAGUCGUCAGCUGCCAGCCGUAUCACGCCGUCCUUCUCCUUCGCGUCAUCUGCGGCGGACGGCCGAGGAAGGCUGCCGCCGCUGCUGCCGUUUUCGCAGCGGGCAGCGCGCCUGGCCUCCGGCCGCGCCGCCGCCAACCUCCGGCGCUCCCUCUCACGGCCCAGCCCUCUCCCUCCUUUCUCCCUCUGCAUGUGGUGGUCAGCCACCUAGGCGAUGAUUUCGCCACAGCGGUGCUGCCGCCAGAGCCGCCUCUCCCUCCUUCCUCGCGGCCGGCCGAGCAACGGCGUCCUAAAAUUCGCCGUGCCGUCGCCGUCCUCAUCACCGGGGGCAGAAGACCCCCUUCUCUCCGGCCAUUAUCAAAGGAAAAAUAGAAAUCCCCUUCUCUCACUCUCACGCUCACGCUCUAGACCCGGCCCAAGAAGAAAGAACGAAGCUUGAAAAUGGAAAAGAAGGUUUGCUCUAGAUUUAAAAGUUCUAUCUUAGUUCAAAAUUUUGGAGGAUUCGAAAUAUUGAGUUCUUGAUUUGUACAGAUUUUUAUGUAAACACAUCUAUUGUAAUAGAAAUUUAUGAGUUUACGGAUUCCUAACAUAGUCAUGGGAAAGAAGGAAGAAAAUGUCCACUGUCCAAGUUUGUUUAUGUUACUGUACGAGAUUCAAAGUCUAUUUCUAACCUUGGUAUAGAGGAAUACAUAUUUA
rnacentral:lncRNA from 1 species